CUGGUGGCGGAAUGGUAGACGCGACAGACUUAAAAUCUGUUGGCCGCAAGGCCGUGGGGGUUCGAGUCCCCCCCUGCCC
rnacentral:tRNA from 1 species